GGACGGAAUAAAUAUGGACGUCCUUUGGACGUCCGACGUUGAACGUCCUUUGGACGUCCAUACUGGACGAAAUACGGACGUUUUAUGAACGCUUAUAUAUUUUAUAUUGGACACAUUAUUACGGGAUCAAAUAGCAAAAUAAUUCAAUAAAAUAUUAACUUACGCGUUAACUUUACGUUAAUGAAAUACAGUCAAACCUGUCAGUAACGGCCACUAAAAUGAAAGAACUAUUGGCCGAUAUAGAAAGGUGGCCGUUAUUACCAGUUUUUGUAGUCUAGAUAUACAGUAAAACUUGUGUUACUGGCCACCUGAUAAAAUCGGCCACCUGUACUAACGGCCGGUUUAAAUAUUCCCCAAACCAAUUAUAUCUGGACUACAAAAACUGGCAAUACCGGUCACCUUUCUAUAUCGGCCAAUAGCUUUUUCAUUUUUAGUGGCCGUUACUGACAGGUUUUACUGUAAUUGGUUUGGGGAAUUUUUAAACUGACCGUUAGUACAGGUGGCCGGUGUUUGCAGGGGGCCGGUAACACAGGUUUUACUGUAGUUUAAAUCGAAAAGAUUAAAUCUUAAUUCAAAAUUGUAUAUACAAUUAUUACAAUUAUAAACAAACUAUAUAGUUUAAUAUCCAAAACAUGUUUUUGAUUUUAUGUAAUGUAAUGAAAAUCUUAUUUGUAAAUUAUUGGUUACAAUGUUUAACAAUAGGAAAUAUUCAAGAAUAAAUAAAAUAAAAGUUUAAUCCUAACAACACAAAACAUUCCAGGAAUAUAGGUACUACCGUUCUAUUCCGUGAACAUCUAUCUGAUUAAAUUAUGGGUGGAAAGUUACCACAAGAUAUUCUAUGAACAUAGUACAAUGGGUGCGUUCGGACGACCACAGCGGCUGGACAGCUGAGCCAGCAGUAGCUGUCAGACGUCACCGCUGGAAGCCAGCCGCUGAGAGAUUUACUAAGCUUUCCCUAUCACGGCUGGAUGCAACCACUCAGCCGAUUUCUGCUGGCAGCCAGCCGCUAUGGUCGUCCGAACGCACCCAAUGUCUUCCUGGAGGGGUAAAAUUUUCCAUUACAAGAUUUUAAGAGAGGCCAUUUACUGUUCAAUUUGCGUUCAUUUUCAAAUUUGCCGCGCGAGUAUCUAUGUAGCGUCGCGUGGUCAUUGGUCAUCACAUUUCAUUUUCAUAAGAUAAAAGAUAACCGAUAACCUAAAAAUUUAGUAAAAAUUUUGAUUGGAAAAAAAUGCAUCGAUAAGGGGGUGUGGGAAAUGGAAAUUAGUGGCUUUUCUGCUGUACUGUCUGCUAGUCAAAUCACACAACACUUUUUUCUAUGCUGCUAGUUUUUGCUCUGUGCUCUGGCUGGAUCUCUUGUUUAAACAAUUUUGUAAGUAUUAUAAAAUCCGUUUUCAAUUUUCUUUAUUCUUUAUGAAACGAAUCAUUUAUGCAUGCAUAUUAUUAUCUGUAAAUAGUACCUAUUUUUUUUGAUUUUUAAUUGUAAAGAAUAGAAAAAUUACCCUUCAUUUUAAUUUUUUUUAGAAUCAGCUGAAAGUGGCCUACAAAAAAAAACCAAGAAGGAAAUAUAUAGCCUUGUGGCUAUGAAAGGCAAAAGAGAGAUAUAAAAAGUGUAUUGGCUAGUUGGAAGAAAGUCCACAUUGUCCAUGCAUAAUAAGUUAUUACUUUAUCAACAAAUAUCAAGAAGAUAGCAGGGUCAGGAGCAACAACUUCAUAAGUUCAAGAAUAUCGAGGAAAUCCAGCUCCUCGAUACUACUGGGCAAACUAGAAGAUUGAAGAGGACAAAGCCUUUUGAACUAGUUUGAGUGAUAGGUGAUAGUGAAAAACGGAGCAUAGUGCUUGUGUGCUGUGCCUGUGUAUGUUAAAAUAGUGCACGAUCUUGUUAGAUUAGAUAAGAGACGCUAUGGGGUAAGCUCUUCAUUUUAAGAAACAGUAGUAAUUUAGGUUAAAUUAAAAUUGCUCAUUGGUCAGUUAUGACCAGAUUGUUUUUUAUGUUUGGCAAAAAGGACUUAAGUCAGAAUUGCACAUUGAUAAUGUUUUGAUGAUUUCUGGACCAGAAAAAAACUGUUGUAGAUGUAAACUGUACCCUAACAACACACAACAUUCCAGGAAUGUACUACCAAAGUUCUAUCAAUAUUUGAAUGUCCUGGACAUUUAGGGAACAUUCGGUGAACAUCUGAUUAAAUUAUUCCUGGAAUGUUACCAUAAGACAUUCUGUGAACAUACUACCAAUGUUCCUAUAUUUUAAGUUGCGAAAUAAUACAUACGUGUAAGAGAUACAACAUUACUUAUAACAUACCAGACAAACUAAGUGACAUUUUAGGCCUACAGUGCAAUAAUAUGUCAAAUUUAAAGAGUUUCCCAAGUUCAAUGAAUACAAUAUUAUAAACAUACAAAUGUAAUAAAAAUUAUUGUUCGCGAAUAUUCAAUUUGGAAUGCGAUUUUGUUAAUAAAAAAAAUACUUAUAACUUAUGCAAAACCCAAGCGAGGCAUUUAUAUUUAUUUCUUUUGCGUUCAUUUUCAAAUUCGCCGUGCAUAUAUGUUUGUGCAUGGCGCUUGAGAGGGCAUCACGUGACUAAAAACGACCAACCAACGACCUCGCUUCGGCCAUCUUGGCAUCUUCAUCUUGGCGACCUUGCCGUUGCCCGGCCUUGCCUUGCCGUGGAUUGUUGUUUGUAUUUUGUAUUAUUUGUGCUUUUUAAGAAUAUUUUUUUAAUUCGGAUACUUUUAUAAUAGCUUUAAUAGUAUUAUUAACAUAGUGCAUAAAAUGGUGUCCUGUUUUUAACGCAGUUGGAGUAGCAGAAACAAAUGUAGAUAAAAAAAUCUGCAGGAAUAACGUUUCAAUUAUGACAGAAGCUCAAAACAAAUGACUGUGAAUGAAAAGCCCUAUUAAAAGCUUUCCAGAAGAUCCUGCGAAGAAGACAAGAAAGUAUAGAUUAGAUUUGUUAAUAGAGGAGUAUGUUCAAAACACUUUUUAGAAAAAGAUAUUGACAGAACUUCACUUUCAUCUGUUCGUUUGAGAGACUGUGCUGUUCCAAUAGCUUAUGUCACACAGAAUCAGCUGAGAGAAGUGGUCUACAAAAAACCAGAAAGGAAACGGAAUAUGUGGCUACGAAAAGCAAAAGAAAGGUUUACAAAGCAAAUGUGACACAUUUUUUUAUAAUAUUUAGGAAUGUCAGCAAAUUACAUUAAAAAAUGUAUGUAAAGAUUUUUUGCAAUAAAAAUGUUUAUAUUUAUCAAGGAUGUAUUAUUUGGU
rnacentral:lncRNA from 1 species